UACGUAGGGGGCGAGCGUUGUCCGGAGUUACUGGGCGUAAAGGGCAUGCAGGCGGUCAGGCGCGUUUUGUGUGACAGCGGAUGGCUUAACUAUCCGAGGAUACGAAAGACGGCGUGACUUGAGAGCGCGAGAGGGACACGGAAUUCCGGGUGGAGUGGUGAAAUGCGUAGAGAUCCGGAGGAACACCGAAGGCGAAGGCAGUGUCCUGGCGCGUAUCUGACGCUGAGGUGCGAAAGCCAGGGGAGCGAACGGG
rnacentral:rRNA from 1 species